GGCCAGACUCCUACGGGAGGCAGCAGUGGGGAAUAUUGCACAAUGGGGGAAACCCUGAUGCAGCGACGCCGCGUGAGUGAAGAAGUAUUUCGGUAUGUAAAGCUCUAUCAGCAGGGAAGAAAAUGACGGUACCUGAUUAAGAAGCCCCGGCUAACUACGUGCCAGCAGCCGCGGUAAUACGUAGGGGGCAAGCGUUAUCCGGAUUUAUUGGGUUUAAAGGGUGCGUAGGCGGAUUUUUAAGUCAGCGGUAAAAUGUCCGGGCUCAACCCGGGCCGGCCGUUGAAACUGGGGAUCUUGAGUGGGCGAGAAGUAUGCGGAAUGCGUGGUGUAGCGGUGAAAUGCAUAGAUAUCAUGAAGAACUCCGAUCGCGAAGGCAAGUGUCCGGGGUGCAACUGACGCUGAGGCUCGAAAGUGCGGGUAUCAAACAGGAUUAGAUACCCUAGUAUC
rnacentral:rRNA from 1 species